rnacentral:rRNA from 1 species
UUUAUUGGAGAGUUUGAUCCUGGCUCAGGACGAACGCUGGCGGCGUGCCUAAUACAUGCAAGUCGAGCGAGG